rnacentral:sRNA from 12 species
UUGACAGUCCAAACACCACCUGCCUCCGUGAGAUACACGGGGUGAGGUCUUCGCCGCUUGCGGUCAUAUUUCGGAGCACUGAUAUAUGGGGAGAGGAGACCUGCGAUUCGUUCGCUUGAUGACGUGGUACGUUGGACAU